GCCAGGCAAGGUGGCCCACGCCUGUCAUCCCAGCAGCUCAGGAGGCUGAGGCAGGAGGAUUGCAAGUUCAAAGCCAGCCUCAGCAACUUAGCAAGGCCCUAAGCAAAUCAGUGAGACCCUGUCUCUA
rnacentral:sRNA from 1 species